rnacentral:rRNA from 1 species
GAUGAACGCUGGCGGCGUGCCUAAUACAUGCAAGUCGAGCGGACGGACGAGAAGCUUGCUUCUCUGAUGUUAGCGGCGGACGGGUGAGUAACACGUGGAUAACCUACCUAUAAGACUGGGAUAACUUCGGGAAACCGGAGCUAAUACCGGAUGAUAUUUUUAACCGCAUGGUUCAAAAGUGAAAGACGGUCUUGCUGUCACUUAUAGAUGGAUCCGCGCUGCAUUAGCUAGUUGGUAAGGUAACGGCUUACCAAGGCAACGAUGCAUAGCCGACCUGAGAGGCAGAGCGCCCACACAUGAACGGAGACACGGUCCAGACUCCUACGGGAGGAAGCAGUAGGGAAUCUUCCGCUAUGGGCGAAAGCCUGACGGAGCAACGCCGCGUGAGUGAUGAAGGUCUUCGGAUCGUAAAACUCUGUUAUUAGGGAAGAACAUAUGUGUAAGUAACUGUGCACAUCUUGACGGUACCUAAUCAGAAAGCCACGGCUAACUACGUG